rnacentral:rRNA from 1 species
UACGUAGGGGGCUAGCGUUGUCCGGAUUUAUUGGGCGUAAAGAGCGUGUAGGCGGCCAGGUAGGUCUGCUGUGAAAACUCGAGGCUUAACCUCGAGACGUCGGUGGAAACCAUCCAGCUAGAGUCCGGAAGAGGAGAGUGGAAUUCCUGGUGUAGCGGUGAAAUGCGCAGAUAUCAGGAAGAACACCCGUGGCGAAAGCGGCUCUCUGGGACGGUACUGACGCUGAGACGCGAAAGCGUGGGGAGCGAACAGG